rnacentral:tRNA from 2 species
UCCCCGGUAGCUCAGUCGGUAGAGCGUCGGACUGUUAAUCCGCAGGUCGUUGGUUCGAGUCCAACCCGGGGAGCCA